rnacentral:lncRNA from 10 species
CCACAACUGGAAAUUCCAUCGAAUGAUCAUGGACUAACACAUUUUUGACCAACUCUCUGCUCUGUACAUUCUUCUGGAUGCCCCAGUUACCGUUUGCACAAAACUAGACAAAGUGAUUCAGAAAAAGCUGUUGUAGAACUUCUCAAAGAGACCAAAUCAAAAGGAGAUCUGUUCAGGUGUUAGCAGAGUUGGAAGGAAAGCUGCUCCUGGGCUCAUGGGGUGUCUCCAGCUUGGUCCAGUCACCUGGGAGAGAUAUGGCAGAUUGAAGACUGUCACGAAUUCUCUAUUCUUCCUCAUUCUGAGAGGUGGAGUCUAAUUUUCUUCUUCUUGAACCUGUCUGGCUCUAGCAAC